rnacentral:rRNA from 1 species
AUACGUAUGUCGCAAGCGUUAUCCGGAUUUAUUGGGCGUAAAGCGCGUCUAGGCGGCUUAGUAAGUCUGAUGUGAAAAUGCGGGGCUCAACCCCGUAUUGCGUUGGAAACUGCUAAACUAGAGUACUGGGGAGGUGGGCGGAACUACAAGUGUAGAGGUGAAAUUCGUAGAUAUUUGUAGGAAUGCCGAUGGGGAAGCCAGCCUACUGGACAGAUACUGACGCUAAAGCGCGAAAGCGUGGGUAGCAAACAGGAUUAGAUACCCUGGUAGUCCACGCCGUAAACGAUGAUUACUAGGUGUUGGGGGUCGAACCUCAGCGCCCAAGCUAACGCGAUAAGUAAUCCGCCUGGGGAGUACGUACGCAAGUAUGAAACUCAAAUGAAUUGACGGGG